AAACAAUCGAUCGUGUAGUCCAUUCAUAACUAGGCGACUAGGGAUGAAUGAGAAUAUACAUUCAGUACUAUGAGAAAUCAAAGUCUUGGUUCGGGGGGAGUAUGGUCGCAAGCUGAAACUUAAGAAUUGACGGAAGGGCACCACCAGGAGUGGAGCUGCGCUUAAUUUGACUCAACACGGGGAAACUUACCAGGUCCAGACAUAGUAAGGAAUGGACAGAAUGGAUAGCUCUAUCUUGAUUCUAUGGGUGGUGGUGCAUGGCCGUUCUUAGUUUGUUGUUGUGUGUUGUCUGUUAUUCCGAUAACGAACGAGACCUUAACUGCUAACUAGACUUUUCUAAUCCGAUAGACAUUGACUUCUUAGAGGGACUAUGUGCUCUAAGCACAUGGAAGUUUGAGGCAAUAACAGGGAAUGUGAAAACCUUAUAUGUCCUGGGCUGCACGCGUGCUACACUGAUGCAUACAACAAGUCCCAAGCCAGUCAUGGCAUGGUAAUCUCUAAUAUGCAUCGUGAUGGGGAUUGAUCUUUGCAAUUAUAGAUCAUGAACGAGGAAUUCCUAGUAAGUGCAAGUCAUCAUCUUGCAUUGAUUAUGUCUUUUCCCUUUGUACACACGGCAAGAGGCGAUCCUACCGAUACCGGGUGGUUCGGUGAACCUUUGGACCUCGCAAGAGGAAAGAUAAGUAAAUCAUAUCCCUAGAAAGAAGUGACAG
rnacentral:rRNA from 1 species